UAAUUUUUCCUGACCACAUAGUAUUAGCUAAUAGAUGACCAUACAAAUCCUUCUAAUUAUUUCUCACCGCACAAUGCUUUCUAUUUUUUCUCUAACCGCAUAGUGUCUUCUAAUAAUAGACCAUUUUUCCACUAUAAAUAUGUCUACUCGUCACUGUAUCUCGUCACUUCAUCAUAUCUCUUUUGCUGGUACUCCUUUGCGCUCCUUGUGCUCCUUUUGUAUGGCUGCAUGCUCGGAAUGCUCCCAACCCAGAAACUUGUGCACCCGACCAUCUAGAUAUUGUACAGAGUUUUCUGUCAAGAUGUUGCCAGAAGAUUUCGAACAAUAUUCUAUUCUCCCUUGCUGUUACUAUACAAGGAUUAAAUUUUUAUGCCCAUCAUGAAAGUUGUAGGUAGACCAGCUCCCCACUUGGAGGCACCUGAUGAUGACUUCACAACACAUCAUCUAUUAUUGGAUGAUUGCGAUACAUACUUUUCAAUAGAAGGACCAUAUUAUUUGUCCUUGUUAGAAGCAUUUCGUAUCACUGCUGGAGAUACAAUAAAAUUUUCAUAUGAUGAAGAUGAAGACAUCUUUAAUGUCUCCGUCCAUGUUGGAAUAGAUCAACCAAAAUAUUGGUUUGGAUUCCCUGAAUGCAAUAACCUACCCGCUGAUUGUGAAGAAGCGCUCUAUAGUACUUUUUUCAUGGAAGCAACGGAUGUUUCCCAAGCAGAAAUGAACAGACUAGUCACUCGUUAUAGGGAGUAUAUGAGGAGUCUGGAUUAUCAUAACAAUGAACCUAAUUUCAUUAUUCACAGGCUUGUGAGUAGUGAAUACGCCUGUUGGGUAGUUCCAAUCGAAGCUUUCAAAAGUAAUGUUGUUCUACCAAGGAAGGGCGAUUCUAUUUAUGCAUACAAUCAAUAUUCUGUCCAAGGAACAUACAAAAUAAGAGAUGAUGGCACUAUCAUUUUCCUUGAACACUGGGCUGAUUUACGGGUGGACAAUAGUAUAUUCCCAGGAGACUUAUUCAUUGCCAGGGUGGUGGCAAAUAGAAGUUAUAUAGGACUGGAUAUUCAUAUUAUUUAGGAAGACAAGGAUUUUUCUAUUUAUAAUAGUAGUUUUUUCUCUACUUUUUUGUAAUAAUUUUUUAUCUUUUUUUAGUGUUGUAUUUCAAGAAGAUUGGUAUUUUUAUUUCUCCAACUUGUAAUAAUUUUUAUUUACCUUUCUUCAUUAAUUUAUUCUGAACACUAUGUUUGUUUGCUUCACAA